rnacentral:rRNA from 1 species
GUGAGGAAUAUUGGACAAUGGGCGCAAGCCUGAUCCAGCCAUGCCGCGUGCAGGAAGACGCAUCUAUGGUGUGUAAACUGCUUUUGUACGGGAAGAAACACUCCCUCGUGAGGGAGCUUGACGGUACCGUAAGAAUAAGGAUCGGCUAACUCCGUGCCAGCAGCCGCGGUAAUACGGAGGAUCCAAGCGUUAUCCGGAAUCAUUGGGUUUAAAGGGUCCGUAGGCGGUUUAAUAAGUCAGUGGUGAAAGCGCAUCGCUCAACGAUGGAACGGCCAUUGAUACUGUUAGACUUGAAUUACAAGGAAGUAACUAGAAUAUGUAGUGUAGCGGUGAAAUGCUUAGAUAUUACAUGGAAUACCAAUUGCGAAGGCAGGUUACUACUUGUGGAUUGACGCUGAUGGACGAAAGCGUGGGGAGCGAACAGGAUUAGAAACCCGGGUAGUCC